GUAAAUUUGAGGUAUUCAUUGAUAUAAUGCUUUUUGUUUCUCUGGUUUCAUCAAACUCAGUUUGAAUUGGAUGAGCUCUUUUUGGAUCCAAACUUAAUUGGGAAAAAAUGAAAAAUAUAGGAAAAGGGAAAAAUAAUCCCAUAAUUACGGAAAGAUAAAAUUAAUUAGGGACAACACUUAAUUAGAUUUCUAAACAAAAGUUAGCACUUAUUUUGUAAUAUAAUUCUCAACCAACACGUGUUUUCCAUAUCAAAUUUUCUCUCAGCUCAAAAUCCUAACAUCUCAAUUUCUCUGAGAUCAAACUUUCUCUCCUCAAACAAUAAAUUUGUCUCUGAAAUUUGUCUCUCAGAUUUGAAAUGACGAAAUAAUAAAGAAAUGGAAUCAAUACCACUAAUCGUCCAUUACAUUGGAAAAUGGGAUGAAAAGUAUAAUUUCACAGAUUACCAGAUCAAGGGUGUAAGAAUACAACAUGAUGCAAUGAUGGACAUUUUGUUUAGUAAAUUGAAAGUAUACAAAGAAGAUACGUUACUAGACAUUAAAUACCAACUCAAAGAGGGUUACUUGCCUAUAUUGAAGAUGAUGACAGUUUGUACUUCUACAUUGAGAUCAAGAAGGAUGAAAGUGACAUUAUAAGAUAUCCACAAUGCAUUAUGUUUGAAGAAAUAAAAGGUCAUGAUAAAGGCGAUGAAUCUUCAAAAAUAGUUGCACAAUCAUACUUCACACAUAGCGGAACAUCAACAACGGUUCAAGAUGAUCGUCUAUCAAAUGAAAUAGAAUCAUCAUGGAAGAUAAAAGAUAUUUUUCUCACCACCGUGACUUUCUUCUCCUUCCCAUCAAAUUCUUUAUUUUUAAAGUCAAUUUCAAAUUGUUUUCCUAGAAAAUGAAUCAAUGUCAAAAACAAUAACAACACCCAAUUGAUUUAAACAACCUUCUGCCAUUCUUUCGCUUACCACUCCCACCACCACCGCCAUCCUUUUUUCAUUUUAGUCCUUUCCCUUACACCACCGUUACUUUUGAGUAGAAGAACAAAAACGCUGCUAAAUAAGUGGUGGCGAGCCGUGAGCAGUGGCUAGACGUGAUUCUAUCGCUGCCAGAAGAAAAUUGAGAAGUAAAUUCGCAAAAGUUCGGUCGAGAUAGAAAAAAAUUUAGUUUAGAAAGUUUGCUGCAAAUUUUGUGAGAGGAAGAUGGUUUUUAUGUAGUUGAUGAGAAGAUACAGACUGCGAAGAAAAGAAGAAAGAACAGACUCGGGUUACGCGUUUUUCAAACAUGUUUUGUCAAUCACGUGUAAAUGCAAUUAAUUGUAUUUUAAAAGUGUUGAUCCAAUAAAUAAGAGACACGCGUAUAUUUGAGAAUAUUUUUCUUAA